rnacentral:rRNA from 1 species
UGGGGAAUAUUGCACAAUGGGCGCAAGCCUGAUGCAGCCAUGCCGCGUGUGUGAAGAAGGCCUUCGGGUUGUAAAGCACUUUCAGCGGGGAGGAAGGCGGUGAGGUUAAUAACCUCAUCGAUUGACGUUACCCGCAGAAGAAGCACCGGCUAACUCCGUGCCAGCAGCCGCGGUAAUACGGAGGGUGCAAGCGUUAAUCGGAAUUACUGGGCGUAAAGCGCACGCAGGCGGUCUGUCAAGUCGAAUGUGAAAUCCCCGGGCUCAACCUGGGAACUGCAUUCGAAACUGGCAGGCUAGAGUCUUGUAGAGGGGGGUAGAAUUCCAGGUGUAGCGGUGAAAUGCGUAGAGAUCUGGAGGAAUACCGGUGGCGAAGGCGGCCCCCUGGACAAAGACUGACGCUCAGGUGCGAAAGCGUGGGGAGCAAACAGG